GAUGAACGCUGGCGGCGUGCCUAAUACAUGCAAGUCGAACGAAGAUCUAGCUUGCUAGAUCUUAGUGGCGAACGGGUGAGUAAUACAUAAAUAAUCUGCCCAUAUGACUGGGAUAACUAUUGGAAACGAUAGCUAAUACCGGAUAGGUUGAUUGGAGGCAUCUCUGAUUAAUUAAAGAUGAAUUCUACACAAAUGGAAGAGUUUAUGGCGCAUUAGUUAGUUGGUGGGGUAACGGCCUACCAAGACGAUGAUGCGUAGCCGACCUGAGAGGGUGACCGGCAACACUGGGACUGAGACACGGCCCAGACUCCUACGGGAGGCAGCAGUAGGGAAUUUUCGGCAAUGGGCGCAAGCCUGACCGAGCAACGCCGCGUGAGUGAUUAAGGCCUUCGGGUUGUAAAGCUCUGUUGUAAGGGAAGAACAUUCAGGAUAGGAAAUGAUCUUGAACUGACGGUACCUUACCAGAAAGCCACGGCUAACUACGUGCCAGCAGCCGCAGUAA
rnacentral:rRNA from 1 species